rnacentral:lncRNA from 1 species
UGAGCAUGCUCGGAGAGCGGGUCUGUCGCGGGAGGAAGCGGCGCGGGCUGCGGGCGCUGCACGCCKCGCCGUUGUUGUGAUACAGCCUCCGCCACGUGACUGCGCGGGGCCCGCCUUCCCUGCGCGCGGUGCCUCCUCACGGUGACUCAGCACUUUGUGCGGGCUCGGAGCCGAAGGUCUAUCCCGGGGAGGCUGAUUUGGGGCAAAGUCUUGGUGGUUAUUCCUGCCCCUGGGCUGCGGAUGCCUCUAUCGCUGUGGUCACACUUCAGCUACGCCAGGCCUCCAGGUAUUUGGUCACAUCAGCAGAAGACUGASCACCACAAUCCUGAAAAUGGAGACUGUAGACAUUCCUUAGCCACUUGUCUUUUAUUCCAAAUUAUCUAGCUAUUCUAAAUUAUGGGACUUUGAAUAGACAAAUAAAACCCCAAAACCCAUGCUUGUCA